UACGAAGGGUGCAAGCGUGACUCGGAAUUACUGGGCGUAAAGCGUGCGUAGGUGGUCUGUUAAGUCUGAUGUGAAAGCCCUGGGCUCAACCUGGGAAUUGCAUUGGAUACUGGCAGGCUAGAGUGCGGUAGAGGAUGGCGGAAUUCCCGGUGUAGCAGUGAAAUGCGUAGAGAUCGGGAGGAACAUCUGUGGCGAAGGCGGCCAUCUGGACCAGCACUGACACUGAGGCACGAAAGCGUGGGGAGCAAACAGG
rnacentral:rRNA from 1 species